rnacentral:rRNA from 1 species
GACGAGGGGUCCUAGCGUUGUUCGGAAUCAUUGGGUCGUAAAGCGUGUGUAGGUUGCCAUUCAAGUCAGUGGUGGAAAGCCCCGGGAGCUCAACUCCGGAACUGCCCAUUGAAACUGUUUAGCUGGAGUAUGAGAGAGGUGAGUGGAAUUCCCAGUGUAGAGGUGAAAUUCGUAGAUAUUGGGAAGAACACCGGUGGCGAAGGCGGCUCACUGGCUCAUUACUGACGCUCAUGCGCGACAGCGUGGGGAUCAAACAGG